AGAGCUUUCGAUAAAAGGCUAACACUAUCCACCAACAAAACUAACGGGACAUAAUCGCGCGACUUCAGCUUUCCUUUGAGGAGACGAGGGGAACCGUGAAGGCUCAACAACGCCUGGAGGAAUACCGGAAUUAUCAACAUAGCCGCCCGACGGGACAUCGAGGGGGCGGUGUGUGUCACGUGAAGGCUAUCUGCCUCUCUAUAGCUAGACGUUCUGAUAAGAACGUCUAGCUACUGUCAUUUCCGAGAAAUCGCCAAACGAGAGCAAGCAACAACCUAUCUUCCGUCGACUUCUGCUGCUUUCUUUUUGUGACGAGAAACGAAAAGGUCAAACAUGGGUGCCGGAAGUGGAGGAAACAUCUUGUGGUCAAUCUUCUGGCUGCUGUUGCUGGUCUUCUUGUCGCUGUUGGUUGCUGGCAUCUGCGCCUUCAUCUACAUUAUUGUAUCGAUAUUCACACCGUGCAUCAGACCUUUGGACCCCCUGGCCGAAUUUCUCAUGAGGGGGGUGAACUUCCCCCACACCUGCUCCCAAAAUAUGGUCCACGGAAGCUCUCUGUAACUGCGAACCUUGGCCGUCUCUUCCUCUCGGACAUAGCGGCUGAAGAGCUCAGAAUCCGGCGCAUAUCAGUGGGCUACAGUAAAUUCCCGCCUUUAUAAUGUGGACACACUAAUUCGAGUAUUUGGCAGUACGCAAAACAAAAGACUUUCAUCAGGCUGCCCCGUCUACAUCCCCCCCCCCCCCUUUUUUGUGUGUUCUUUUUGCGUAAAAGGGUUAUUUUAUUUAACACAAAAAAAUGUUUCUGGACUGCCUAAAUAAAGCACCUUCGUAAUAAAGUG